rnacentral:rRNA from 1 species
AUUGAACGCUGGCGGCAUGCUUUACACAUGCAAGUCGAACGGCAGCGCGGGCUUCGGCCUGGCGGCGAGUGGCGAACGGGUGAGUAAUGCAUCGGAACGUGCCCCGCAGUGGGGGAUAGCCCGGCGAAAGCCGGAUUAAUACCGCAUACGACCUGAGGGUGAAAGCGGGGGACCGAAAGGCCUCGCGCUAUUGGAGCGGCCGAUGUCGGAUUAGCUAGUUGGUGGGGUAAAGGCUUACCAAGGCGACGAUCCGUAGCUGGUCUGAGAGGACGACCAGCCACACUGGGACUGAGACACGGCCCAGACUCCUACGGGAGGCAGCAGUGGGGAAUUUUGGACAAUGGGGGCAACCCUGAUCCAGCCAUGCCGCGUGCGAGAAGAAGGCCUUCGGGUUGUAAACCGCUUUUGUUCGGGAAGAAAUCCUCUGGGCUAAUACCCCGGGGGGAUGACGGUACCGGAAGAAUAAGCACCGGCUAACUACGUG